UCCUACGGGAGGCAGCAGUGGGGAAUAUUGCACAAUGGGCGCAAGCCUGAUGCAGCAACGCCGCGUGAACGAAGAAGGCUUUCGGGUCGUAAAGUUCUUUUCUUAGGGAAGAAAAAUGACGGUACCUAAGGAAUAAGCACCGGCUAACUACGUGCCAGCAGCCGCGGUAAUACGUAGGGUGCAAGCGUUAUCCGGAAUCACUGGGCGUAAAGGGUGCGUAGGCGGCCUUGCAAGUCAGAAGUGAAAGGCUACGGCUCAACCGUAGUAAGCUUUUGAAACUGUAAGGCUAGAGUGAAGGAGAGGAAAGUGGAAUUCCUAGUGUAGCGGUGAAAUGCGUAGAUAUCAGGAGGAACACCGGUGGCGAUGGCGACUUCCUGGACCAAUACUGACGCUGAGGCGCGAAGGCGUGGGGAGCAAACAGGAUUAGAUACCCCGGUAGUCCAAGCCG
rnacentral:rRNA from 1 species